rnacentral:misc_RNA from 1 species
AACACUGUUAACCUGCGGUACCUGCGGAGGGAUCAUUACCGAGUUUACAACUCCCAAACCCCUGUGAACAUACCUAUAUGUUGCCUCGGCGGAUCAGCCCGCGCCCCGUAAAACGGGACGGCCCGCCGCAGGAUCCACAAACUCUGUUUUUAUUGUAACUUCUGAGUAACAAAACAAAUAAAUCAAAACUUUUAACAAUGGAUCU